rnacentral:rRNA from 1 species
ACGGUACAACGAGUCGCAAGCUCGCGAGAGUAAGCUAAUCUCUUAAAGCCGUUCUCAGUUCGGACUGUAGGCUGCAACUCGCCUACACGAAGUCGGAAUCGCUAGUAAUCGCGGAUCAGCGUGCCGCGGUGAAUACGUUCCCGGGCCUUGUACACACCGCCCGUCACACCAUGGGAGUUUGUAACGCCCAAAGUCGGUGGCCUAACCUUUAUGGAGGGAGCCGCCUAAGGCGGGACAGAUGACUGGGGUGAAGUCGUAACAAGGUACC